rnacentral:rRNA from 1 species
GGUCGUUAAAUCAGUUAUCGUUUAUUUGAUAGUACCCUACUACAUGGAUAACCGUGGUAAUUCUAGAGCUAAUACAUGCUAAAAACCCCGACUUCGGAAGGGGUGUAUUUAUUAGAUAAAAAACCAGCGCCCUCCGGGGCUCCUUGGUGAAUCAUAAUAACUUAACGAAUCGCAUGGCCUGGCGCCGGCGAUGGUUCAUUCAAAUUUCUGCCCUAUCAACUUUCGAUGGUAGGAUAGGGCCUACCGUGGUUUCACGGGUAACGGGGAAUAGGGUUCCGACCCCGGAAGGGGAGCCUGAAAACANNNNNNNNUCCAAGAAAGCCNNNNNNCCCCAAAUUACCCAAUCCCGACACGGGGAGGUAGUGACAAUAAAUACUGAUACAGGGCUCUUUUGGGUCUUGUAAUUGGAAUGAGUACAAUUUAAAUCCCUUAACGAGGAACAAUUGGAGGGCAAGUCUGGUGCCAGCAGCCGCGGUAAUUCCAGCUCCAAUAGCGUAUAUUAAAGUUGUUGCAGUUAAAAAGCUCGUAGUUGAACCUUGGGCCUGGCUGGCCGGUCCGCCUCACCGCGUGUACUGGUCCGGCCGGGCCUUUCCUUCUGGGGAGCCGCAUGGCCUUCACUGGCCGUGUCGGGGAACCAGGACUUUUACUUUGAAAAAAUUAGAGUGUUCAAAGCAGGCCUUUGCUCGGAUACAUUAGCAUGGAAUAAUAGAAUAGGACGUGUGUUCUUAUU